UACGAAGGGAGUGAGCGUUGUUCGGAAUCACUGGGCUUAAAGCGUGCGUAGGCGGAUAUGUAAGUCAGAAGUGAAAUCCCGGGGCUUAACCCCGGAACUGCUUUUGAGACUGCAUAUCUAGAAUUCGGUAGAGGUUAAUGGAAUAUCCAGUGUAGAGGUGAAAUUCGCAGAUAUUGGAUGGAACACCAGUGGCGAAGGCGAUUAACUGGGCCGACAUGACGCUGAGGCACGAAAGCGUGGGGAGCAAACAGG
rnacentral:rRNA from 1 species